GAUCCAAUAGCUUAGUGGUAAAGCAUGCAUCUGAUAAGUGCGGGAUCGUUGGUUCGACUCCAAUUUGGAUCA